rnacentral:snRNA from 1 species
CGGCGUGCCUCGGCAUCAGCGU